GUAUAAGAGACAGCAGCCGCCGCGGUAAUACGGAGGGGGCUAGCGUUGUUCGGAAUUACUGGGCGUAAAGCGCACGUAGGCGGCUUGGUAAGUUAGAGGUGAAAGCCUGGAGCUCAACUCCAGAAUUGCCUUUAAGACUGCCGAGCUAGCAGGUGAGAGAGGUAAGUGGAAUUCCGAGUGUAGAGGUGAAAUUCGUAGAUAUUCGGAAGAACACCAGUGGCGAAGGCGGCUUACUGGCUCAUACUGGACGCUGAGGUGCGAAAGCGUGGGGAGCAAACAGGAUUAGAUACCCCGGUAGUCCCUGUCUCUUAUAC
rnacentral:rRNA from 1 species